GACGAACGCUGGCGGCGUGCUUAACACAUGCAAGUCGAACGGAAAGGCCCUGCUUUUGUGGGGUGCUCGAGUGGCGAACGGGUGAGUAACACGUGAGUAACCUGCCCUUGACUUUGGGAUAACUUCAGGAAACUGGGGCUAAUACCGGAUAGGAGCUCCUGCUGCAUGGUGGGGGUUGGAAAGUUUCGGCGGUUGGGGAUGGACUCGCGGCUUAUCAGCUUGUUGGUGGGGUAGUGGCUUACCAAGGCUUUGACGGGUAGCCGGCCUGAGAGGGUGACCGGCCACAUUGGGACUGAGAUACGGCCCAGAGUCCUACGGGAGGCAGCAGUGGGGAAUAUUGCACGAUGGGCGGAAGCCUGAUGCAGCAACGCCGCGUGCGGGAUGACGGCCUUCGGGUUGUAAACCGCUUUCGCCUGUGACGAAGCGUGAGUGACGGUAAUGGGUAAAGAAGCACCGGCUAACUACGUG
rnacentral:rRNA from 1 species